rnacentral:lncRNA from 1 species
AUUAAAAAUAGUCAUUUGUGUGCUUGUGUGGGCACGCCUGUGAAGUUUGUGAGCACUUCUGGGCUCAGAGCCAGGUGGUGGGCACUGGCCAGCCGCACCACCAGGCCUCUGGAGGAGCCUGCAAUGUGGGCCCCGGGCCUACCCUGUGCUUCCUGGAAGCCACAAGCACUUCGUGGCGCCCUUCUGCAGUGAGAGUCACUCUUGAGACCCCUGGGGGAGAAGAUUUAGCACAGGAGCAUUCUGGACAAGCUUGCUCUUUCAUUCCCAUGCAGAGAUCCGAGAGCCAGGAAGAAAAUGCCGUCCUUGACAUAGAUAGCUUCUCCAAGGACACAGAUUAAGGCAUCAGGCAUUGGGCUCGAGAGCUGAGUGCCCAGCCCCGGCCCGCACCCUACUUCUUCACAGAACGCCCCACCUCGCCGGCCUCUGCUGCAGACCCCGGCGGCCCCAGGGGCCCCGGCCGGGCGGCUCCCACCUUCGGGAAAGUCCGGAAAGCGGCGCCGGGCUCCGCGGGAAAAGGCGCCUGUCGGGCCGAGCCGCCCAUCAGCCUACUGCUCUGCUUCUGAGCGUUCGCAAACUGCGGAUCAUUCUGUUUAAU